CAAUCCAUGAGUAAAGUGGCGCACGGGUGAGUAACACGUGACUAACCUACCCUUGAGUGGGGGAUAACCUAGGGAAACCUGGGCUAAUACCGCAUAAUACCUACGGGUCAAAGGAGCAAUUCGCUUAAGGAGGGGGUCGCGGCAGAUUAGUUAGUUGGCGGGGUAAUGGCCCACCAAGGCUCCGAUCCGUAGCUGGUCUGAGAGGACGAUCAGCCACACUGGGACUGAGACACGGCCCAG
rnacentral:rRNA from 1 species